rnacentral:rRNA from 1 species
GAUUAAGUUAUUAAGGGCGCACGGUGGAUGCCUUGGCACUAGAAGCCGAUGAAGGACGUUACUAACGACGAUAUGCUUUGGGGAGCUGUAAGUAAGCUUUGAUCCAGAGAUUUCCGAAUGGGGAAACCCAACAUGAGUUAUGUCAUGUUAUCGAUAUGUGAAUACAUAGCAUAUCAGAAGGCACACCCGGAGAACUGAAACAUCUUAGUACCCGGAGGAAGAGAAAGAAAAUUCGAUUCCCUUAGUAGCGGCGAGCGAAACGGGAAGAGCCCAAACCAACAAGCUUGCUUGUUGGGGUUGUAGGACACUCUAUACGGAGUUACAAAGGACGACAUUAGACGAAUCAUCUGGAAAGAUGAAUCAAAGAAGGUAAUAAUCCUGUAGUCGA